rnacentral:rRNA from 1 species
AUUGAACGCUGGCGGCAUGCUUUACACAUGCAAGUCGAACGGUAACAGGCCUUCGGGUGCUGACGAGUGGCGAACGGGUGAGUAAUGCAUCGGAACGUGCCCAGAGGUGGGGGAUAACGCAGCGAAAGCUGUGCUAAUACCGCAUGUGAUCUGAGGAUGAAAGCGGGGGACCAGGCAGCAAUGUUUGGCCUCGCGCCUUUGGAGCGGCCGAUGUCAGAUUAGGUAGUUGGUGGGGUAAAGGCCUAUCAAGCCGACGAUCUGUAGCUGGUCUGAGAGGACGACCAGCCACACUGGGACUGAGACACGGCCCAGACUCCUACGGGAGGCAGCAGUGGGGAAUUUUGGACAAUGGGCGCAAGCCUGAUCCAGCAAUGCCGCGUGCGGGAAGAAGGCCUUCGGGUUGUAAACCGCUUUUGUACGGAACGAAAAGGCUCUGGCUAAUACCUGGGGCUGAUGACGGUACCGUAAGAAUAAGCACCGGCUAACUACGUG